CUCGUUCUUUUUCAGCUCCCUCCCCGCUGUCCCCGUUUCUCAGACCCAGCUCUCCUCUGCUCAUUUUUUGGUUACAUCUGGAAGUUCCAAAAUCCAUUUUUGUAGGAAGUCACACACUGGAGAGGGUGGGGGAGGACGGAGAAGUCAAGCAGGCCAAGAUUUGAAACUGGUGGAUGGACGGCUUCUCAGGGAACAGACACAACACUAUCGGACCCUCCCACUCAGAAUCCUUAUGCGUUAA
rnacentral:lncRNA from 1 species